UAGGGAAUCUUCGGCAAUGGGGGGAACCCUGACCGAGCAACGCCGCGUGAGUGAAGAAGGUUUUCGGAUCGUAAAGCUCUGUUGUUAAGGAAGAACGAGUGUGAGAAUGGAAAGUUCAUACUGUGACGGUACUUAACCAGAAAGGGACGGCUAACUACGUGCCAGCAGCCGCGGUAAUACGUAGGUCCCGAGCGUUGUCCGGAUUUAUUGGGCGUAAAGCGAGCGCAGGCGGUUAGAUAAGUCUGAAGUUAAAGGCAGUGGCUCAACCAUUGUAGGCUUUGGAAACUGUUUAACUUGAGUGCAGAAGGGGGGAGUGGAAUUCCAUGUGUAGCGGUGAAAUGCGUAGAUAUAUGGAGGAACACCGGUGGCGAAAGCGGCUCUCUGGUCUGUAACUGACGCUGAGGCUCGAAAGCGUGGGGAGCAAACAGG
rnacentral:rRNA from 1 species